rnacentral:misc_RNA from 1 species
CCGAGCGUGACCCCCCGAAAAUUUGAAGGGGGGUGCCUCCCGUCCUUUGCAGAGCCCUUUGGGGGCUUUCACACUUUGCUUCGGCGGGAUUGCCCCGCCGGAACACCCUCAAGAAAAUCUCGAAUAAACCGUUCCGUCCGAGGGUUGCGAUAAUGAACA